rnacentral:rRNA from 1 species
UGUAGGAGAUGAACAGGCAAAUCCGUUCAUCAAUCCGAAGACGUGAUGCGGACCGAAUUAAGAGUAGGGAAGUGUGUGAGCCAUGCGUCAAGAAAAGCCGCUAUUGUUUUACUUAAGCCCGUACCGUAAACCGACACAGGUGGAUGAGGAGAGAAUCCUAAGGCCGACGGGAGAAGCAUUGUUAAGGAACUCGGCAAAAUGACUCCGUAACUUCGGGAGAAGGAGUGCCAGCGAGAGCUGGCCGCAGAGAAUUGGCCCAAGCAACUGUUUAGCAAAAACACAGGUCUAUGCAAAACCGUAAGGUGAAGUAUAUGGGCUGACGCCUGCCCGGUGCUGGAAGGUUAAGAGGAGAGGUUAGCGGUAACGCGAAGCUUUGAAUUUAAGCCCCAGUAAACGGCGGCCGUAACAAUAACGGUCCUGAGGUAGCGAAAUUCCUUGUCGGGUAAGUUCCGACCCGCACGAAAGGCGUAAUGAUUUGGGCACUGUCUCAACAAUGCACCCGGUGAAAUUGAAAUACCAGUGAAGAUGCUGGUUACCUGCGCCAGGACGGAAAGACCCCAUGGAGCUUUACUCCAGCUUGAUACUGGGAUUCGGUAUUGCAUGUACAGGAUAGGUGGGAGGCUAGGAAGUGAUAACGCCAGUUGUCACGGAGCCGCUGUUGGGAUACCACCCUUGCAGUAUUGGAUUUCUAACCAGCGACCAUGAACUGGUCGGGGGACAAUGUCAGGUGGGGAGUUUGACUGGGGCGGUCGCCUCCGAAAGGGUAUCGGAGGCGCUCAAAGGUUCCCUCAGAAUGGACGGAAACCAUUCGAAGAGUGCAAAGGCAGAAGGGAGCUUGACUGCGACACCGACGGGUGGAGCAGGUACGAAAGUAGGACUUAGUGAUCCGGUGGUAUAAAGUGGGAUUGCCAUCGCUCAACGGAUAAAAGCUACCCUGGGAUAACAUGCUUAUCACUCCCAAGAGUUCACAUCGACGGAGUGGUUUGGCACCUCGAUGUCGGCUCAUCGCAUCCUGGGGCUGAAGUAGGUCCCAAGGGUUGGGCUGUUCGCCCAUUAAAGCGGUACGCGAGCUGGGUUCAGAACGUCGUGAGACAGUUCGGUCCCUAUCCGGCGUGGGCGUAGGAUAUUUGAGAGGAGCUGUCCUUAGUACGAGAGGACCGGGAUGGACUGGCCGCUGGUGUAUCUGUUGCAUACCAAAUGCAUGGCAGAGUAGCCAAGCCGGGACGGGAUAAACGCUGAAGGCAUCUAAGCGUGAAGCCCCCCUCAAGAUGAGAUAUCCCUACGUAAGUAGUAAGACCCCUUGAAGACGACAAGGUAGAUAGGUCAGAGGUGGAAGUACAGUAAUGUAUGGAGCUGACUGAUACUAAUCGGUCGAGGGCAUGACC